UGAAAAAUAGUGAGGCCGGCGUUCGGCGUCGUCCCUCUGUUUCUGGGAGCAAAGCUGAAGCCGCGCCUAUUUCCCUCUUCGCAAGCUAGCGCCGCUGAGGGGACCGGCGGAUCGCCGCCGUCAUCUUCACUGAGCCACCAUCGGUACCUCCCUCUCCCUUCAAUUCGUGUCUCUCUAACUCUCUGUUUCCCUCUGUUCCUUUCUCGCUUCUAAAUUUUCACCUCAAAUUUCAGUAAGCAAAACUGAGCCCUAGCCCCAUUUCUGGAAUCGCCGCCGUCGCGGCCCUUCUCCGGCGCGAUGGAUCGCCGUUGGACAUGUGAAUCGGCGAGAGUCGCCGUCAGCAUCGGGUCUCCCGACCUUAGGUGUCUUGCUGCCUUCGCCCUUGAGUUCCAGCUAGCGGAUGCUUCCGUCGAUGCACUCUGCCCAUCGGAACAGAACUCGUUCUGCUUGGUGUCGCCCUUAGGCGCAGCCAUGGCGCUCUGCCCCA
rnacentral:lncRNA from 1 species